UUGGCGCCUGACGGGUGCAGCCGUCUUCCUCUCGGCAUCCCCGAGCUGCCCCACACGGCUCCAACAGCCCCCCCCUCCCCCGGGCUCUUUGCGCCGUGGAAGGGCCUGCGAAGCAGCCGGGUAGCGGCCGCCGCGAUCGUUGCUGGUGGCGUGAGGCGGGGGGGAACCGUGGCAGGACCCCGCGAACUGCUCUGAAGGCGUCCUCGGUGUUCACAGGGCGCCUCUUCCCGGGGUUUAUUGGAACCAGAAGAGCAGCGUUUCUUUCCCAGCUACCAGAAACAAAACAAGGAUCACUUACCCAGGGGGGUCUUCUGAGACAGGAGUGAAUGACAACAGCUUGGACUGUGUCUGGAAACAGAGUUCCAGUAACGAGUGAUUGUCACAAACAUCCGUCUUGACACAAGAGGGAUAAACUGAUAACGAGGGAACGUCGCAGACAUCAGUCUCUACCAAGGACAAAACCUGGGGAGGCAGGAUGUCGUCUUGUGAACCCACUCCCCUAUUCCCAAAACAGGCAGACAAGGACCAUCUGUCUCCUGUGCGUGCGUGCCUGUGAAAGGUCAUCACUCGGUCAACCCCAAAGUGGAGGGGACAAUGAGACCCCCAAGACCCCCACAACCCAUCAACUCAUUUCUGGAACAUUCCUGAGCACAUACUGCACCUGCUCAGUGAUGACAAACCCCCACCUAUGGGACAGGCACAUU